CCGAAUUAGGCUUUUAAAGGGGGGGGAAGGCCCCCGGGUACCUGGAA
rnacentral:rRNA from 1 species